rnacentral:rRNA from 1 species
AUUGAACGCUGGCGGCAGGCCUAACACAUGCAAGUCGAGCGAGCGGCGGACGGGGGAGUAAUGUGUGGGAAACUGCCUGCGGGGGAGGGAUAACUACUGUAAACGGUGGCGAAUACCGCAUACCAUCAGAUGUGCCCAGAUGGGAUGAGCGAGUAGGUGGGGUAAUGGCUCACCUAGGCGACGAUCCCUAGCUGGUCUGAGAGGAUGACCAGCCACACUGGAACUGAGACACGGUCCAGACUCCUACGGGAGGCAGCAGUGGGGAAUAUUGCACAAUGGGCGCAAGCCUGAUGCAGCCAUGCCGCGUGUGUGAAGAAGGCCUUCGGGUUGUAAAGCACUUUCAGCGGGGAGGCGUUACCCGCAGAAGAAGCACCGGCUAACUCCGUGCCAGCAGCCGCGGUAAUUC